rnacentral:lncRNA from 1 species
GCACUGGGUUCGAACCUCAGCACCACAUAAAAAUAAAGACAAGUCCAUCAACAAUAAAAAAAUAUUAAUAAAAAAAAAAAAGAGUGUAGAUCAUGGGCAAGUUCAGUGUCCUUUGUAAGAAAGUGUGUUGUCUUUUCAUUGAUUUUUCUUGCCUCUCAUUGUGUAUCUUUUGUAUUAUAAUCUUUUUUAUCACUCAUUACAUAUAUUUUCAGGGUUGUCAUUUUUUUUGUUUGUUUUUGUUUGUUUGUUUUUGUGUGUGUGUUUGUGUGUGUACAUGGACUGUUGAGGAUUGAACCGAGGGCUAUCAAGUUCUUACUACUGAGUUACUCUGCACCCCAAGAAAAUUAGUAUUGUAGACUGGGGUUUACUUAUUUGCUGAUGUAUUGAGUGCUGGGGUUGAAGCCAGGGACUUGCUCAUGC